rnacentral:tRNA from 4 species
GGGUGUAUAGCUCAGUGGUAGAGCACUUCGUUGACAUCGAAGGGGUCACAAGUUCGAACCUUGUUACGCCCACCA